AUUGAACGCUGGCGGCAUGCUUUACACAUGCAAGUCGAACGGUAACGCGGGGCAACCUGGCGACGAGUGGCGAACGGGUGAGUAAUGCAUCGGAACGUGCCCGGUAGUGGGGGAUAACUGCUCGAAAGAGCAGCUAAUACCGCAUACGACCUGAGGGUGAAAGGGGGGGAUCGCAAGACCUCUCGAUAUUGGAGCGGCCGAUGUCGGAUUAGCUAGUUGGUGGGGGAAGUGCACAACAAGGCGACGAUGCGUCGCUGGUCUGAAAGGACGGCCAGCCACACUGGGUCGGAGACACGGCCCAGACUCCUACGGGAGGCAGCAGUGGGGAAUUUUGGACAAUGUACGGAAGUCUGAUCCAGCCAUGCCUCGUGCGGGAAGAAGGCCGUCGGGUUGUAAACCGCUUUUGUCAGAGAAGAAAUCUUCUGGGUUAAUACCUCGGGAGGAUGACGGUAUCUGAAGAAUAAGCACCGGCUAACUACGUGCCAGCCGCCGCGGUAA
rnacentral:rRNA from 1 species